CAAUAAUAAAAAAAACUAUUUUCGACAUAGUUUAUGAGAACUUUCUCUAUUGA
rnacentral:tRNA from 1 species